rnacentral:sRNA from 1 species
UACUUGAAAAGCAGCAGACGGUUUCUG